CACCACUAAGAGAUCCAGUGAAUGUAGGAAUACCACCACUAAGAGAUCCAGUAUUCCUACAUUCAUUGGAUCUCUUAGUGG
rnacentral:pre_miRNA from 1 species